GCUUAACACAUGCAAGUCGCACGGUCAGCAAUGGCAGUGGCGGACGGGUGAGUAACGCGUAGGUAUCUAUCCUUGGAAUGGGGGACAACCGUGGGAAACUACGGCUAAUACCGCAUGAUCCGCGAGGAGGAACGAAGAAGUAGCCGUUGAGGAGGAGCCUGCGUCUGAUUAGGUAGUUGGUGGGGUAAAGGCCUACCAAGCCUACGAUCAGUAGCUGGUCUGAGAGGAUGAUCAGCCACAUUGGGACUGAGACACGGCCCGAACUCCUACGGGAGGCAGCAGUGGGGAAUAUUGGACAAUGGGCGCAAGCCUGAUCCAGCAAUGCCGCGUGGGUGAAGAAGGUCUUCGGAUUGUAAAGCCCUUUUGGCGGGGACGAUGAUGACGGUACCUGCAGAAUAAGCCCCGGCUAACUUCGUG
rnacentral:rRNA from 1 species